CCUACGGGGGGCAGCAGUGGGGAAUAUUGGACAAUGGGGGCAACCCUGAUCCAGCCAUGCCGCAUGUGUGAAGAAGGCCCUCGGGUUGUAAAGCACUUUCAGUGAGGAAGAACGCCUGGUGGUUAAUACCCAUCAGGAAAGACAUCACUCACAGAAGAAGCACCGGCUAACUCCGUGCCAGCAGCCGCGGUAAUACGGAGGGUGCGAGCGUUAAUCGGAAUUACUGGGCGUAAAGCGCGCGUAGGUGGCUUGAUAAGCCGGUUGUGAAAGCCCCGGGCUCAACCUGGGAACGGCAUCCGGAACUGUCAAGCUAGAGUGCAGGAGAGGAAGGUAGAAUUCCCGGUGUAGCGGUGAAAUGCGUAGAGAUCGGGAGGAAUACCAGUGGCGAAGGCGGCCUUCUGGACUGACACUGACACUGAGGUGCGAAAGCGUGGGUAGCAAACAGGAUUAGAUACCCUGGUAGUC
rnacentral:rRNA from 1 species